rnacentral:rRNA from 1 species
UACAGAGGGGCAAGCGUUGUUCGGAAUUACUGGGCGUAAAGGGCGCGUGAGGCGCUGCUAAGUCGAACGUGAAAUCCCUGGGCUCAACCCAGGAACUGCGUCCGAUACUGGUUGGCUUGAAUCCGGGAGAGGGAUGUGGAAGUUCCAGGUGUAGCGGUGAAAUGCGUAGAUAUCUGGAGGAAUACCGGUGGCGAAGGCGGCAUCCUGGACCGACAUUGACGCUGAGGAGCGAAAGCUAGGGGAGCAAACGGG